rnacentral:misc_RNA from 1 species
UGAGGCAGAAAGAAGAUUCACAAAAUUCUAGAAGGACAAAGCAUUUGCUGGAAUCAUCACUCGCAAAGGCCAAAGUUGGAAGAUUUGUAUGUCCAUUGUCCACCUUCAAGAGAAAUUGUGUCUCCAGUAUAUGUGUGCCUCGCAAACAGUAGAAGAGGGAAGUCUAUAAGCAGGCUAUUUGGGUAGCUUGGUUUGAGGUUGCAGAUGCCUGAUUGAGGAAAUAAACUCCCAUUUGCUUCUUUUCAUGAAGAUGGCUUUACUUCAAAGGGACGUCGCACGAUAGUGUUGCAGAAGGAGGCAACACAAAUCUUGGUG